rnacentral:rRNA from 1 species
UACGAAGGGGGGCUAGCGUUGCUCGGAAUGACUGGGCGUAAAGGGCGCGUAGGCGGAUGGCACAGUCAGAUGUGAAAUUCCUGGGCUUAACCUGGGGGCUGCGUUUGAUACAUGCAGGCUUGAGUUCGGAAGAGGGUCGUGGAAUUCCCAGUGUAGAGGUGAAAAUUCGUAGAUAUUGGGAAGAACACCGGUGGCGAAGGCGGCGACCUGGUCCGAUACUGACGCUGAGGAGCGAAAGCGUGGGGAGCGAACAGG